AUUGAACGCUGGCGGCAGGCCUAACACAUGCAAGUCGAGCGGUAGCACAGAGAGCUUGCUCUCGGGUGACGAGCGGCGGACGGGUGAGUAAUGUCUGGGAAACUGCCUGAUGGAGGGGGAUAACUACUGGAAACGGUAGCUAAUACCGCAUAACGUCGCAAGACCAAAGUGGGGGACCUUCGGGCCUCAUGCCAUCAGAUGUGCCCAGAUGGGAUUAGCUAGUAGGUGGGGUAACGGCUCACCUAGGCGACGAUCCCUAGCUGGUCUGAGAGGAUGACCAGCCACACUGGAACUGAGACACGGUCCAGACUCCUACGGGAGGCAGCAGUGGGGAAUAUUGCACAAUGGGCGCAAGCCUGAUGCAGCCAUGCCGCGUGUGUGAAGAAGGCCUUCGGGUUGUAAAGCACUUUCAGCGGGGAGGAAGGCGAUAAGGUUAAUAACCUUGUCGAUUGACGUUACCCGCAGAAGAAGCACCGGCUAACUCCGUGCCAGCAGCCGCGGUAAUACGGAGGGUGCAAGCGUUAAUCGGAAUUACUGGGCGUAAAGCGCACGCAGGCGGUCUGUCAAGUCGGAUGUGAAAUCCCCGGGCUCAACCUGGGAACUGCAUUCGAAACUGGCAGGCUAGAGUCUUGUAGAGGGGGGUGGAAUUCCAGGUGUAGCGGUGAAAUGCGUAGAGAUCUGGAGGAAUACCGGUGGCGAAGGCGGCCCCCUGGACAAAGACUGACGCUCAGGUGCGAAAGCGUGGGGAGCAAACAGGAUUAGAUACCCUGGUAGUCCACGCCGUAAACGAUGUCGAUUUGGAGGUUGUGCCCUUGAGGCGUGGCUUCCGGAGCUAACGCGUUAAAUCGACCGCCUGGGGAGUACGGCCGCAAGGUUAAAACUCAAAUGAAUUGACGGGGGCCCGCACAAGCGGUGGAGCAUGUGGUUUAAUUCGAUGCAACGCGAAGAACCUUACCUGGUCUUGACAUCCACAGAACUUUCCAGAGAUGGAUUGGUGCCUUCGGGAACUGUGAGACAGGUGCUGCAUGGCUGUCGUCAGCUCGUGUUGUGAAAUGUUGGGUUAAGUCCCGCAACGAGCGCAACCCUUAUCCUUUGUUGCCAGCGGUUAGGCCGGGAACUCAAAGGAGACUGCCAGUGAUAAACUGGAGGAAGGUGGGGAUGACGUCAAGUCAUCAUGGCCCUUACGACCAGGGCUACACACGUGCUACAAUGGCAUAUACAAAGAGAAGCGACCUCGCGAGAGCAAGCGGACCUCAUAAAGUAUGUCGUAGUCCGGAUUGGAGUCUGCAACUCGACUCCAUGAAGUCGGAAUCGCUAGUAAUCGUAGAUCAGAAUGCUACGGUGAAUACGUUCCCGGGCCUUGUACACACCGCCCGUCACACCAUGGGAGUGGGUUGCAAAAGAAGUAGGUAGCUUAACCUUCGGGAGGGCGCUUACCACUUUGUGAUUCAUGACUGGGGUGA
rnacentral:rRNA from 1 species